GGAGCAGAGGGACGCUGCUGCAGCUUCUCCAAGGGGCUUCCAUGGUGGAAAAACUCCAAUUUCCACCAUCCAAUCCAUCAUUUCUCUCUUCUAUGUUGUAUAUGUGUAGCUAAAACUCCAUUUCACUGGGGUUGAGACACUGUAGGAACGUUCCCUGCACCGCAAGCUUCAUUUUAAGCCGAACAACUUCCGGUUCUGUUUAGUUGGAGAGUUUAAGAGAAACGUGGAGAGAGCUUCUUUUAGACGAGUCAAGAUCCACCCCUUUAGGACGUUCGCUACUGAAUCCGGAUGACGGGGAGGAUACUUUGGAGACAGCUCUUGAUGGAGACGGCAGUGCUGCAGCUUAGAUGUGCUAGCUUUUAUUCCGAGGAACUCAUAUUAUUUGGAAGAACUUUUGAGUGUUUAAAUUUUUAAUUGUCCCAUAAAUUCCAGGGAGAAAUUCUAAUACUCUAGUCGGAAAUUUCGCACUAUUCUAAGGAUGACUGUAAUCCUUGAUUAACUCUUGACUGCUUUCCUAUAUUAUGCAUGAUGACGUCUUUAUUAUAUAUGCAUGACGUAUAUAAUUGGGAUGUUACAACAGAAGUCAAAGCCGAGCCUUAGAGCGCUCGUUCAUAUUAGAAGUUUAGAUGUUAGCUUUUAUUUUGACGCU